rnacentral:rRNA from 1 species
GCGGACAGGUGAGUAACGCGUGGGUAACCUGCCUCAUACAGGGGGAGUAACAGUUGGAAACGGCUGCUAAUACCGCAUAAGCGCACAGUACCGCAUGGUACCGUGUGAAAAACUCCGGUGGUAUGAGAUGGACCCGCGUCUGAUUAGGUAGUUGGUGGGGUAACGGCCUACCAAGCCGACGAUCAGUAGCCGACCUGAGAGGGUGACCGGCCACAUUGGGACUGAGACACGGCCCAAACUCCUACGGGAGGCAGCAUG